rnacentral:rRNA from 1 species
GUAAACGAUGGCACUAGGUGUCCGGGGUAUUGACCCCCUGGGUGCCGCAGCUAACGCAUUAAGUGCCCCGCCUGGGGAGUACGGUCGCAAGAUUUAAACUCAAAGGAAUUGACGAGGGCCCGCACAAGCGGUGGAGCAUGUGGUUCAAUUCGACGCAACGCGAAGAACCUUACCCAGGCUUGAACUGCAGAGGACACUCUACGAAAGUAGACUUCCGCAAGGACCUCUGUAGAGGUGCUGCAUGGCUGUCGUCAGCUCGUGUCGUGAGAUGUUGGGUUAAGUCCCGCAACGAGCGCAACCCUUGUCUUCUGUUGCCAUCAGGUUAAGCUGGGCACUCUGAAGAGACUGCCGGUGACAAACCGGAGGAAGGUGGGGAUGACGUCAAGUCAGCAUGGCCUUUAUGUCUGGGGCCACACACGUGCUACAAUGGCAGGUACAAACCGUCGCGAGACCGCAAGGUGGAGCUAAUCGGAUAAAGCCUGUCUCAGUUCGGAUUGUCGGCUGCAACUCGCCGGCAUGAAGUUGGAAUCGCUAGUAAUCGCGGAUCAGCACGCCGCGGUGAAUACGUUCCCGGGCCUUGUACACACCGCCCGUCACAUCACGAAAGCUGGCUGUACUAGAAGUAGCAGCGCUAACCCGCAAGGGAGGCAUGUUCCUAAGGUAUGGUCAGUGAUCGGGGUGAAGUCGUCAA